AUGAACGCUAGCUACAGGCUUAACACAUGCAAGUCGAGGGGCAGCAUGGUCUUAGCUUGCUAAGGCCGAUGGCGACCGGCGCACGGGUGAGUAACACGUAUCCAACCUGCCGUCUACUCUUGGACAGCCUUCUGAAAGGAAGAUUAAUACAAGAUGGCAUCAUGAGUCCACAUGUUCACAUGAUUAAAGGUAUUCCGGUAGACGAUGGGGAUGCGUUCCAUUAGAUAGUAGGCGGGGUAACGGCCCACCUAGUCUUCGAUGGAUAGGGGUUCUGAGAGGAAGGUCCCCCACAUUGGAACUGAGACACGGUCCAAACUCCUACGGGAGGCAGCAGUGAGGAAUAUUGGUCAAUGGGCGAGAGCCUGAACCAGCCAAGUAGCGUGAAGGAUGACUGCCCUAUGGGUUGUAAACUUCUUUUAUAAAGGAAUAAAGUCGGGUAUGCAUACCCGUUUGCAUGUACUUUAUGAAUAAGGAUCGGCUAACUCCGUGCCAGCAGCCGCGGUAAUACGGAGGAUCCGAGCGUUAUCCGGAUUUAUUGGGUUUAAAGGGAGCGUAGAUGGAUGUUUAAGUCAGUUGUGAAAGUUUGCGGCUCAACCGUAAAAUUGCAGUUGAUACUGGAUAUCUUGAGUGCAGUUGAGGCAGGCGGAAUUCGUGGUGUAGCGGUGAAAUGCUUAGAUAUCACGAAGAACUCCGAUUGCGAAGGCAGCCUGCUAAGCUGCAACUGACAUUGAGGCUCGAAAGUGUGGGUAUCAAACAGGAUUAGAUACCCUGGUAGUCCACACGGUAAACGAUGAAUACUCGCUGUUUGCGAUAUACAGCAAGCGGCCAAGCGAAAGCGUUAAGUAUUCCACCUGGGGAGUACGCCGGCAACGGUGAAACUCAAAGGAAUUGACGGGGGCCCGCACAAGCGGAGGAACAUGUGGUUUAAUUCGAUGAUACGCGAGGAACCUUACCCGGGCUUAAAUUGCAGAUGAAUUACGGUGAAAGCCGUAAGCCGCAAGGCAUCUGUGAAGGUGCUGCAUGGUUGUCGUCAGCUCGUGCCGUGAGGUGUUGGGUUAAGUCCCGCAACGAGCGCAACCCCUGUUUCUAGUUGCCAGCAUGUAAAGAUGGGAACUCUAGAAAGACUGCCGUAGAUAAUACGGAGGAAGGUGGGGAUGACGUCAAAUCAGCACGGCCCUUACGUCCGGGGCUACACACGUGUUACAAUGGGGGGUACAGAGGGCCGCUACCACGCGAGUGGAUGCCAAUCCCAAAAACCUCUCUCAGUUCGGACUGGAGUCUGCAACCCGACUCCACGAAGCUGGAUUCGCUAGUAAUCGCGCAUCAGCCACGGCGCGGUGAAUACGUUCCCGGGCCUUGUACACACCGCCCGUCAAGCCAUGGGAGCCGGGGGUACCUGAAGUGCGUAACCGCGAGGAGCGCCCUAGGGUAAAACUGGUGACUGGGGCU
rnacentral:rRNA from 1 species